rnacentral:rRNA from 1 species
UACGUAGGUGGCAAGCGUUGUCCGGAAUUAUUGGGCGUAAAGCGCGCGCAGGCGGUCCUUUAAGUCUGAUGUGAAAGCCCACGGCUCAACCGUGGAGGGUCAUUGGAAACUGGGGGACUUGAGUGCAGAAGAGGAAAGCGGAAUUCCACGUGUAGCGGUGAAAUGCGUAGAUAUCGGGAGGAACACCAGUGGCGAAGGCGACUUCCUGGCCUGUUCUUGACGCUGAGGCGCGAAAGCUAGGGGAGCAAACGGG